UACGAGAAGUGCAAGUGUUACUCCUCAUGAUUGGGCGUUUAAGGGUAUGUAGAUUGUACUUAAAGUUAGAAAUACACUUUUAAUUGAUUAAUUUUGUUAUUUUUUAAUACUUUUUUACUUUGAGUAACAAUUAAGAUAGUAGAACUGCUAAUUGAGCGUUUAAAAUGCGAUUAGAGAUUAGCGGGAAUAUCAAUGUGAAAACAUAUAUCUAUUGUAUACUGACAUUAGGUACGAAAGCAUGGGUAUCAAAUGGGAUUAGAAAUCCCGUGGUAG
rnacentral:rRNA from 1 species